AGAGUUUGAUCCUGGCUCAGGAUGAACGCUAGCGACAGGCUUAACACAUGCAAGUCGAGGGGCAGCGGGGUAGUGCUUGCACUACUGCCGGCGACCGGCGCACGGGUGAGUAACACGUAUGGAACCUGCCCGCAGCAGGGGGAUAAGCGGAAGAAAUUCCGUCUAAUACCGCGUAAGAACGUUGGGAGGCAUCUCCCGAUGUUUAAAGAUUUAUCGGCUGCGGAUGGGCAUGCGGCGCAUUAGGCAGUAGGCGGGGUAACGGCCCACCUAACCGACGAUGCGUAGGGGUUCUGAGAGGAAGGUCCCCCACACUGGUACUGAGACACGGACCAGACUCCUACGGGAGGCAGCAGUGAGGAAUAUUGGUCAAUGGUCGGGAGACUGAACCAGCCAAGCCGCGUGAGGGAGGAAGGUACAGAGUAUCGUAAACCUCUUUUGUCAGGGAACAAAGGCGGGGACGUGUCCCCGGAUGAGUGUACCUGAAGAAAAAGCAUCGGCUAACUCCGUGCCAGCAGCCGCGGUAAUACGGAGGAUGCGAGCGUUAUCCGGAUUUAUUGGGUUUAAAGGGUGCGCAGGCGGUCUGUUAAGUCAGCGGUCAAAGCCCGGGGCUCAACCCCGGCCCGCCGUUGAAACUGGCAGUCUCGAGUUGGAGAGAAGUAUGCGGAAUGCGCGGUGUAGCGGUGAAAUGCAUAGAUAUCGCGCAGAACUCCGAUUGCGAAGGCAGCAUGCCGGCUCCACACUGACGCUGAGGCACGAAAGCGUGGGUAUCGAACAGGAUUAGAUACCCUGGUAGUCCACGCAGUAAACGAUGAAUGCUGGCUGUCCGGGGGGAUUGACCCCUGGGUGGCGAAGCGAAAGCGAUAAGCAUUCCACCUGGGGAGUACGCCGGCAACGGUGAAACUCAAAGGAAUUGACGGGGGCCCGCACAAGCGGAGGAACAUGUGGUUUAAUUCGAUGAUACGCGAGGAACCUUACCCGGGCUCAAACGGGGAGUGACUCAGGCAGAGACGCCUGUUUCCCACGGGACACUCCCCGAGGUGCUGCAUGGUUGUCGUCAGCUCGCGCCGUGAGGUGUCGGCUUAAGUGCCAUAACGAGCGCAACCCCCGCGUGCAGUUGCUAACAGAUAACGCUGAGGACUCUGCACGGACUGCCGGCGCAAGCCGCGAGGAAGGCGGGGAUGACGUCAAAUCAGCACGGCCCUUACGUCCGGGGCGACACACGUGUUACAAUGGGUGGUACAGCAGGAAGCCAGGCGGCGACGCCGAGCGGAACCCGAAAUCCACUCUCAGUUCGGAUCGGAGUCUGCAACCCGACUCCGUGAAGCUGGAUUCGCUAGUAAUCGCGCAUCAGCCAUGGCGCGGUGAAUACGAUCCCGGGCCUUGCACACACCGCCCGUCAAG
rnacentral:rRNA from 1 species